CCCCAUGGCCAUUAAAAGCCGCAUGAUAUGAACAUUUAGAUUGGACACUGAUAGCUAUUCCCCACUACCUCUUCAUUCCAGUGCGGUUUUUUGUGGCGAACAACCGUGAAUAGGUAUUCACCAACACACACUGAAGACAGUGUAGUGAGUCUGCUUGAAAACUUUUUGAUUCAUGCUCUGGAACAGAGAAGCACCCAAGCAUAGGCUGAGACUCCUGCGAGCAUAACUCUUAAAAUGUAACACUGUUGUUAUGUCUUCUAACCAAAUUUUAUAGGGCAGUGUAGCCUAUAAUGGGUAGGUUUUUCAGAGCCCCUGAAUCCAUUUGCAUGUUCCAGUAAUGUCAGUUUUCCAGUGUGGAUAAAAGAAAAUUGAGAGCACUGGAUGGAGGGAACUAAGAAUUGCUUUAGGCCACUGUGCAUCUGUAGCCCCUUCUGUGGGAAGGACGUGGCGGGGAGGGUUUGCAGUACACAUACACAAGAGUGCACCAUAAUCCCUUUUCCAUUUGAAUUUAGCAGCAGUAGACAGUAUUCUGUUUUUGUGACUGCGGGUAGGUCUCAAUAGUAGUGGAAAACCCAACCCUACAAUUAAUGAAGUUCCUUAUUUCAACUACAUUUGCAGUAGACAUGAUUAAAGUGAUAGGUAAUUUAAAAAUGAAGAAAUUGUCCACUCAGUACAUUUCCUUUCAAUAAUGAAUUAUGCAACCAUUUUUGGGGAAACUCAACUCAAAGUUGCACCAUGUCCUUGUAUUUCACUUUAAUAAAAUGUACAACUCGGACUUCCCUCCAUACAUCAGAAGCAUCUUUCUACGAGAUCAGUGGACUAUGAUUUAUGUAAUGAAGUAACAUAUGUCUGCCCCUGCUUGUCCUAUAUGUGAAUUGUUUCAUGAUAGUUUUGUAAAUCUAAAUCUGAUUGGCUAAAUCAUGAAUUGGACCUUUUGUCGAACACUUCGUAGGAAAAUAACUUUAGUGUACAUAGCUUGCCCAGAUGAAGUUAACUGAAUUUUUCCUGGCCGCUAACAGGAGGAGUACGCAAUGUAGAGGAAGCAAGAUGUAUCAGCUACACAGUCUGCUGCAGGGAGAGGAACUGUAUAGUGGUAACAAUGUGUGUCUUCUUCACACAAAGCUGGAACACUGCAGUUGCUUUAUAUGAGCACCUACAAAAGUAGUAGUUAUGGAAACCACUGAAGGGAACAGUCAUCAAUAGGUAGUUGCAUUUUGUCACAUGCAACAGUUAGCUGCAUGUAACUCACUACCAUCACAUGAUUUUCAAGCAGACCAGUUUGGAAAGCAUGAAACACAACCCACUGAGCUACUUCAUGUGCCUAACUUAAAGAGCAUUGUACUCUUGGUCACCACAGCUGACAAUGUUAAUGAUUCAUAAAAACCACCUCAGCUGUAUUGUUACACAUUUAUUGUCUCUCAUCCAGGUGAACAUCUUCAGGUUGCCGAGUUGUGCUAAGGGCAUGACAUAAAAGAUCAUGAUUAAAAUUAUUUUUUUACAACCAUUUAUGUCAUAACUUUAGCACAACUUCACAACUUAAAGAUGCUCAACAAAUUAAAUUGCUUGUAACACAAUAAAUGUAUAAUAAUACAGCUGAAAUGGUUUUCAAUUAACUGUUAAAGAACACUGGCUUGAGUGUGGACCACUUCAAAGAUUAUAGUUUAGUUGAGUUGAUGAAACCAGCAAAUGUGGAUACAAAAUGUUGGUUGUCAUGACUAACAUUAAUGAAUCCAAAGUAUUACUCUACUCACUCUCUGUCCAUUCUCAUCUUUUUUUUCCCUUUGCCUUCCAAAUGGCGCAUGCUCUGACAUUUGAGUAACAUUGUGUUAAUGGUCUUGUCCGCGCACAGUGCACAGCUACGUGACUGCAUGAAUUGUUGGUGCAGCGUCUCCCGCCCCAAAUUCUUACCACUGAUAAUUAAAUUAUUCUUAUUAAAUUCAUCCCCCCCCCCCUCCCUACUCAUUCUCCUGUAUUUUUGCUUAUUUGCCACACACACCCAUGCCACAUGAACUUUUGAACUUCAACCUAACCAUUCCCACCUCUCUCAGUGCUCUACUAUCUGUAUUCUCAAAAACCAUAGAAAAAAAUCUUUCAAAGAAGAGUAGCAGAUUUUCUGGAAGAGCACAAAAUACUGUCCACAGCACAACAUAGUUUCUGGAAAGGUUGAUCAACUGACACAGCAAUUUUUGAGCUAUCAAGUGAAGUACUUCAGAAACUAGAUAACGGCGAAAAUGUCAUUGGAAUAUGUCUAGAUCUAUCUAAGGCUUUUGAUAUCAUAGAUCACACAAAACUAUUGCCUAAGCUUGACAACAUGGAGAUUUGAGGAACAUCUAACAACUGGGUAAAGUCAUAUCUAAGCGGACGAAAAUAAGUGGUUCAAUUGCAAACUCACUCAACACUAUUCAAACUAUGAAACCAUUAAAUAUGGAGAGCCACAAGGUUCAGUUCUGGAAUCUCUUCUAUUUCUGUUAUAUGUGAAUGACCUAAACAAAUUCUGUGAGAACAUCAUCCAGUUUGCUGAUGGUACAAGUGUGCUAGUGAGUGGGAAAGAAAUGCAAAUGCUUCAGAGGUCUACUACAGACACACUGAACAAUAUUGAUAACUGGCUCAGUCACAAUAAGCUGGUAAUAAAUGCAAGUAAAACAAUGGCACUAAAUUUCUAUAAUGUGAAAAAAGGUGAGCAAAGUGCUCAGAUUCAGUUAUCUGACAGAUUCAGUUAUCUGACAAAGACCUUCAGUAUGUAGACAACAUUAAGUUCUUGAGAGUAAGGCUCCAAGAUAAUCUUAAAUGGGGGAUGCAUAUCGAAAAAGGCUGUAAGUAACAAACCACUACAUGCUACUUAAUGAGAAUAUUAGAGGGAUGCUGCAACAAAGAUUCUCUGAAAACUGUGUAUUAUGCCUAUAUAUACUCACAACUGAAAUAUGGAAUUAUUUUCUGGAGUAACUCUUCUUUUAGCGAAAAGCUCUUUAUGCUACAAAAAGGAAUUAUAAGAACAAUGGAAGGUAUAAAAUGAAACAAAACCUGUAGACCGAUCUUUAAAAAGUUAGAAAUCCUCACACUUCCGUAUAUGUAUGUGUAUGAGAUAACCGUGUUUGUGAAAAAAUAUUCAAUGGAAAAUCCCACUCUCUUCCAGAAAAAUGAAAAUAUUCACUCCUAUAACACCAGGCAAAAAGGAGACUUUCAUUUAGAGUCCACCAACACCACCCUGAUUGAAAAAGGAACCCUGUAUUAUGGGAAAGUUAUUUAUAAAAAAACUUCCCCCACAAUUUAAAUCAAUAAAUGACUCACAAACUGUCAACUACUAAGGCAUAUUUGACUCAUUGCUGCUUCUAUAGCCUCCACAAGUUCCUUCAGGAAGCUCACUAUUGAUUUUUGUCUUUGCCUUCAUGAUGUAUCAUAUAAAUCUUACUAGAACUUUAAUUAUUUAGCAUGUAAAUGUUAUUAAUCAGCCAGUACAGUACAUGCUCUUUCUCCUUUAAAAUAUGUACUCUUUAUUUUGUACAAUAUUUGCUCUGUAUAUUGUAACUAAGUGAUUAUUUAAUGUAGAAAUAAUGAAAUUAAUGCAAAAUUAA